UACGUAGGGUGCGAGCGUUAAUCGGAAUUACUGGGCGUAAAGCGUGCGCAGGCGGUUAUGCAAGACAGAUGUGAAAUCCCCGGGCUUAACCUGGGAACCGCAUUUGUGACUGCAUAGCUGGAGUACGGCAGAGGGGGAUGGAAUUCCGCGUGUAGCAGUGAAAUGCGUAGAUAUGCGGAGGAACACCGAUGGCGAAGGCAGUCCCCCUGGGCCUGUACUGACGCUCAUGCACGAAAGCGUGGGUAGCAAACAGG
rnacentral:rRNA from 1 species